AAAACUUUAUGACGCAGCGUUAUGGUACAAGUUAGUUACGCUGAUUGAUUAGUUCACUUGCACAAUACGGUGUAUCUUCUGGUUUAUAAAGUAUUGGUUCAUAAAAUGUGUAAUGCCUCCCAUAUUCAAUUUUCCCUGUAUUUAGCACUACUAUGUGCUGCUGACACCGGAAUGAUAACAAACAGACGUUGGCAUACGACAAAAGCAUAGGAUUCAAGUGAGGGGCACCCGAGAGUUCCUGAUGCUCUCAGAUCUUUGUCCUUGGUGGAGAAACUGAAGUGCAUGAAGGGAAUGUUAAAGCAACAUUGUACAUUUCUUCUGGGGUAUGUGCGUGUACCAUAUUUUUCCACUGGCAGCACGACUAACAUGGCAGGGCAUCUCCAGGUUCAAGACAGAGAGGAGUGCCGUCUGGACUCUUCUUUCCAUGAGCUGGAGAAAAUGAAAUAUUUAGACGACUAUUCCAACAGUUGUUCGCUCUCUUCAAUCCAUUGUCUGCAGCAAAUUUGCCUUAGCCGUGGCAAUCCAAAUUGAAUUGUGGGAGAGAAAAAGAUUGAAAGAAACAGCUGAAUGAUAGAAGAAGGUGCGGAGAACCCCCUCCCAUGCUUCACUAAGUGAUUACCGACCGGAAUGCUAAUGAGGAAUGAAGGGGCCAAUGAAGAAUGUGUCAGAGAGAGGACAGGAAAAGAGGGCAGAGUGAAAGAGAAAGAUAAAAGAGGAAAGAAUCUAAGAGCUAUAAGAGGAAAAGAGAGCAGAUGAGUGAAGACCUAAAGAUGAGAGGACAGCAGAUGCUGGAUCAUAAUCAGCUUAUGUAUGCUGUAUUUGUACCCUCAAGGAAUGAUGCACAGUUGAUCUCAUAAACGUCCAAGAUCAGGAUUCAAAAACUCGAAAAAUGUAAAAACUUUAACAUUUAAAAUUGCCAUUGAUGAGUAAAUAAAGCAAUACUCAACUGGUUAUGGCCAGCUGGCUUAGUACUCCAACAUAAAGUAGGGGUGAGCGGGGCAAAAGUGAACGCGGGGUUGAGCAUUUUGUUUUUCUGGUAUUUUUUUCACGCUUCCAAAAGACAAUCUACCGCAAAUUAUUGGAAAUGUAUAAUGUUUUUCCAGAGAGUUAUUGAGGAACGAGUGUUUUGGUGGCAUGUAAGUACAUUUUUUCAUCAUAUGUUUUUUUCGGUUUCUGAGUUGGGUGUGUAAGAUACCAAAACCAAUCCUAUGUCAUAUUAAUCAGUGUCUUGUUGACUACAACAUAGCAUCAUUUUGAAAUAUGUCUUCAGCUCUUAGCAACUUUUUUGGUGGGCUUGAAAUUUUUUUGACCCAGCGGGGUUAAUUUUAACGCUGUGUUACAACUAACCCCUUAUGAUCAGUGUUGCCAGAUAGAGUUGAUGGUUUCCAGCCCAAAAGUGUUCCAAAACCCGCCCAAACACACAAAAAACCGCCCAAAAUAUUUAAAUCAACAUUUUGGUUUAAUUUGAUUAGCAUUUAGUUAUUUUAACUUACACAAUUAAUGCAACAUACUAUAGCUAGCGACACCAGAACAGAACCACACUAGCAAAAUGACAUAACUUGUUCACAACAGCUACAUUAUGCUCCCUCGCCCACACGCACAAUGCACUUUUACAGCGUAUAUUUAAGUGUUUUGUGAUUAUUCAAAUACCCAAUUCGUUAAUAACGUUUUUUAUCUAUUUAUAUUAUUAUUAAUAAUGUAUUUUUACUCUUGAUAAAUAGGUGUGUGUGACAGAGAGAUCGUAAAUAGGCUUACCUUAAGCAUUAAAUGCAGAACAAUAAUAAUAGGCUGUUGAUUGUGCGUUAACUUGCAAGGAAGCUGAAGAACACUGUGAACAUCUGAACUUUUCAGAACUAUGUACAGUCUGGCUGAAGUUCAUGGUUCCACAAUUGACUAAAUGACAGCCGAACAUUUGGUUCUGUUCACCUGAAAUGCUCCGAUAAUUCAUCCACGGCUCAAACACGUGUAAUUGAUGUCCGUUUCUCACUCCAGCUGCAGCCUGCGGAGGUCGC